AGCCAAAACAUCUGAGUUCCAGGGUGUUCGACAACCAAGGCGCUAAAUAAAUAAGCGAAAAUCAGAAUGUUAGAUGGGAGGAGCGGCAUUCUUGCCUGCAGCAUUGAAAAGAGAUUCUGGCUGUUUACACAGAGCAGAGGUGUCACAUAGCAGCUGUUUGCUGUGAAGACCUGAGAACUUAAUCUCCCAUGUGCAAUUAAAACCUUCAGAAGAGAGAGGCAGG